GCCGGGCAUGGUGGUGCGUGCCUGUAAUCCCAGUUACUCAGGAGGCUGAGGCAGGAGAAUCGCUUGAACCUGGGAGGUGGACGUUGCAGUGAGCCAAGAUCUCGCCACUGUACUCCAGCUUGGGCAACAGAGUGAGACUCCAGUCUGAGCAACAGAGCGAGACUCUGUAUCAAAAAAUAAAGAAAUAAAAAAUAAAUAUAUAAAUUUUCUUUUUUUUUUUUCUUUUGAGACAAUCUCGCUAUAUUGCCCAGGUAGGAGUGCAGUGGCGCGAUCUCAGCUCACUGCAACCUCCGCCUCCCGGGUUCAAGCGAUUCCCCUGCCUCAG
rnacentral:sRNA from 1 species